rnacentral:misc_RNA from 1 species
UUUCCGUAGGUGAACCUGGGGAAGGAUCAUUGUCGAACCCUACAUAGCAGAACAACCCGCGAACAUGUUGAAAAACACAUUUGGGGGAUGUGUGCAUGGGACAAGGCGACAGCCCCCCGUGCAUGCGUCCCCUUCCUUGUGGUGUUGGAGCAAUCGAGCGAAAGCACGUGAGCUUUGGCCCCCAAGAAACUAAACCUCGGCGCAAUUUGCGCCAAGGAAAACUUUAAACUCAAGGGCGUGCUAUCCUUACGUUUCCCCCGUUUGCAGGUGCACAACUGGGUGUUUCCCCGCUCCUUAGUGAAAACACAAACGACUCUCGGCAACGGAUAUCUCGGCUCUC